rnacentral:rRNA from 1 species
UACGUAGGUGACAAGCGUUGUCCGGAUUUACUGGGCGUAAAGAGCGCGCAGGCGGUCGAUCAAGUCGAGUGUGAAAGCCCCAGGCUCAACUGGGGAGGGUCAUUCGAUACUGAUCGACUCGAAGGCAGGAGAGGGUAGUGGAAUUCCCGGUGUAGUGGUGAAAUGCGUAGAUAUCGGGAGGAACACCAGUGGCGAAGGCGACUACCUGGCCUGUUCUUGACGCUGAGGCGCGAAAGCUAGGGGAGCAAACGGG